CUCACACAUUAUCCUUUUUUUUUUGAACAAAAUGAGUUUGUGAGCUAAAGGACUCUAUUAAAAAAAACCCACGUAGUGCUUAUCUUCUACGAAGUAUUUUGUUUUUUUUUUUUUUUUUUUUUUUAAAGAAAAGAUAAGCAUCAAAACUCCAUGAAAUGCUAUGAUCAUCAAACAAAUUCUAUCUCAUUUAGAGAGUCAACUUGUGCGACACUCUCGAAUCAUAUCGUUCUUCAUGGAUAUAAAUAUCACCCUUUUGACGAUCGUUCCGUAAAUACAAUGUGGUUUUUCCUAUUAUGAAUCAUCAAUUUUGGAGCGGUUGGUUUGUUGGUGUGAUUACAGUAGUAUACUUCGUAUUUGAUUUGGCGGAUCGAGCGGGAGUGUUUCAGGGAGUUGACUAGAUUGGGAUGUUCUAUUUAGGUUUGAGUAGUGAACUACUCCGUAUUCUUUUUCAUUUAGUCAAAGAUCAGAGGUGGAAAAAAAAUAGCAGUUUUAAAUGGAGUGAUUGCUCAUUGCUGGCCCUCAUUGCUCAGUUUAGUAGGAUGCUUCAAAAGAAGCAUGGUUGCACACUUGUACUUUUGGACGAAAUUAGUGGGCUGAUUUUUGUAACAAUCAUAUUAAUGUCUUUCAUGAUUUUGCUUCUAUUUAAGAUAUCUUCUUGAUUUUCUCA